GAUGAACGCUGGCGGCGUGCUUAACACAUGCAAGUCGAACGGGAAUUACUUUAUUGAAACUUCGGUCGAUCUAAUUUAAUUCUAGUGGCGGACGGGUGAGUAACGCGUGGGUAACCUGCCUUGUACAGGGGGAUAACAGUCAGAAAUGACUGCUAAUACCGCAUAAGCGCACAGAGCUGCAUGGCUCGGUGUGAAAAACUCCGGUGGUAUAAGAUGGACCCGCGUUGGAUUAGCUAGUUGGUGAGGUAACGGCCCACCAAGGCGACGAUCCAUAGCCGGCCUGAGAGGGUGAACGGCCACAUUGGGACUGAGACACGGCCCAGACUCCUACGGGAGGCAGCAGUGGGGAAUAUUGCACAAUGGGGGAAACCCUGAUGCAGCGACGCCGCGUGAAGGAAGAAGUAUCUCGGUAUGUAAACUUCUAUCAGCAGGGAAGAGAUUGACGGUACCUGACUAAGAAGCCCCGGCUAACUACGUGCCAGCCGCCGCGGUAA
rnacentral:rRNA from 1 species